GCAAAUGCUCUAAUUGAUUUACACCUAUUUUUAUUAUGUAAAAGCAUUUGUAAUUCUAUGCAACCAAUACGAUAUAUGUAAACUUUCUAAAAGAAGGUAGAAUUUUAUCGGUAAAGUUUUCAAAUAUGGUGUCCUUCAAAAAUCAAAAUGUAUUUGUAUUAAUCUCCAUAAUGUAUUCAACUGUAUAUUUUAUGUAUAAAACGAUCAAAUAGAAUCUUGAGGAGGAGCACUCAAUGCGUUCAAAACCAAAAAUGGUUACUCUGACUCUUAAUCUUACAAACUUAUAUCUAUAAUAUAUGUCCUUUAAUAUGUUCUAUAAUAUCCUAUAAUAUGUGUUAUUAUAUUUUAAAAGUCUUCUGAAUUAUUUUCCUUGCAAUUUAUACUAAUAAACUGCAUUAUAUAGAAUUACAAGUAUAAAUUUUUCAGGUGAACAAGGUUAUGUUAAUUGGAGGGAAACAUAAAAAGAAUUUUAUUAGAAGAAGUUUGAGGGCUACAUUUUCUGAUGACUUAGCCUCCAUGUGUUCAUGAACUGGCCAAAAAAAUAAUUAUAAAAUUGGAGAUACGCACACAUACAAUUCUGAGCAUUAAAAAAGCUUUUAGAGCAAUAUUUCCUCGGAAUACAGAAAAAGAUUUUCAACACUUUGUAAUGGAGUGGUUCAGAUUCGCAAACGUCCGUAAGGAAAAAAAAACAUUAAAAAGGAAGUGAUAAAUAUAUUAUCUUACUUGCGUGGCUCCGCGCGAGUGAUUAUUAUAGUAACAAAUUUUUUUAUUUGAAAGAUGAGUUUUAUCCCAAAACCUUACGCUAGGAUCAGUGAUCUUCACCAAAGAUAUUAUUGUGAUAAACUGAAAACUGUAAUAUAUGGUAUAUAUUAUUUUUAUAUAAAUAAAACUUUUUUAUGAUAA